AGUGAACGCUGGCGGUAGGCCUAACACAUGCAAGUCGAACGGCAGCACAGUAAGAGCUUGCUCUUACGGGUGGCGAGUGGCGGACGGGUGAGGAAUACAUCGGAAUCUACUUUUUCGUGGGGGAUAACGUAGGGAAACUUACGCUAAUACCGCAUACGACCUACGGGUGAAAGCAGGGGAUCUUCGGACCUUGCGCGAUUGAAUGAGCCGAUGUCGGAUUAGCUAGUUGGCGGGGUAAAGGCCCACCAAGGCGACGAUCCGUAGCUGGUCUGAGAGGAUGAUCAGGCACACUGGAACUGAGACACGGUCCAGACUCCUACGGGAGGCAGCAGUGGGGAAUAUUGGACGAUGGGCGCAAGCCUGAUCCAGCCAUACCGCGUGGGUGAAGAAGGCCUUCGGGUUGUAAAGCCCUUUUGUUGGGAAAGAAAAGCAGCAGGUUAAUACCCCGCUGUUCUGACGGUACCCAAAGAAUAAGCACCGGCUAACUUCGUG
rnacentral:rRNA from 1 species